UGAGGAAUAUUGGUCAAUGGGCGAGAGCCUGAACCAGCCAAGUAGCGUGCAGGACGACGGCCCUAUGGGUUGUAAACUGCUUUUAUAAGGGAAUAAAGUGGGUCACGUGUGACUUUUUGCAUGUACCUUAUGAAUAAGGACCGGCUAAUUCCGUGCCAGCAGCCGCGGUAAUACGGAAGGUCCGGGCGUUAUCCGGAUUUAUUGGGUUUAAAGGGAGCGCAGGCCGUAUGGUAAGCGUGUUGUGAAAUGUAGGUGCUCAACAUCUGCACUGCAGCGCGAACUGGUUUCCUUGAGUACGCGCAAAGUGGGCGGAAUUCGUGGUGUAGCGGUGAAAUGCUUAGAUAUCACGAAGAACUCCGAUUGCGAAGGCAGCUCACUGGAGCGCAACUGA
rnacentral:rRNA from 1 species